CUGUGCACUUGGUCACAUGGUCUGAAUUUUGGGUAGACCUGUGUGGUGCCAGGAGUUGGACUCGAUGGUCCUUGUGGGUCCCUUCCAACUCAGGACUCAGGAUCUUCUAUGAUUCUGUGAUUCUCCUCGGUCAGUUUGUGCCAUCCCAGGAACACGCUUAUGUUAGAGGCCAGGAGAAGACAGAACUGCAAGGUGGGAUGGGAAAAACGUGCUGGAACUGGAAGCCCGUGGGAGCUGAUUGCAGCGACGUUGCAAGCAGCAAAGCUAAGCUUUAGGUUCUGGUUACUUAGGAAGACCCGUUGGAAAAUACAGAGUAUUACACACAAGAUGUGGGGGGUUUCAGCCCUACCAGGAGCUUGGUGUGUGAUCUGAGUCAAAUCACAUUAGAUGUCAUUUAAAUUUAACAUUUUUUAAAUUAGUAAUCAUAAUAAAAAAGGACCUUUUUUGUUUGUUCGUUAGAUUGAUUCUUUUUCUGUUACUAAGGAGAAUAAAGACUCUAAGCAAAAGCAGUGGAUAAAAAUGAAGUUGAGCUACAGCAGAAAUUGACCAAAAUCCAAUCCUUCUACUACUGUGACUUACUUCCCUUUCUUAAGCUGAGUACAUCAGGAGGUCAAAAUCAUCAUUGUACGGAUGGGCUACAGUCGCAUGGAUUUUCCAAAAUAAGGGGACGACCACUCACCUCCCCCUUCUUUAGUAAAAGCUUUGAUUUUAUGGCUGCACUUAUAUAAAAUUCUGCAGUGUACCGUUUUCUUUGAAAAACAGUUUGUAGGUAAUUUUUCAUUGUCUGCUGCAUUGUUUCUCUUCUCUAAAUGUAUUUGAGAGAUUAAGUUGGGGAAUGGCUGAAUCUCUAAUUUUUAGCAGCACAGAAAUUGAAAAGUACUAAGAAAAUAUUUGCUUUAUUGUAUAUUUAUGUUGCCCAUUGACAUAAAAUCAAAGUUGUGCAAAAAAUUGAAAGUACUAUUUUCUGCCUAUAUAGAGGUAAAAAAUGUUUGUGAAGGGUGACAGUACAACAUUCUAUUUGAAUGUAAAUGUUUAACUUUUGUUAUCUGAUGAAAGGGUAGACUUAGAUUUUGUUGCUGGAUGUAACUGGCCUUAUGAUCCUGAGCAAACUGAUGUUGUAGUUAGUGCCUCAGCUUCUUGCAUGUUAUCUUGUUGAGGAAGAACAUACAGCAAUGUACAAAAGGACACUUUUACCUAGCCUGACAUUCAGAAAAGGUAAGUGUAAUGUGUUAUCCUGAUUUUAGUCUAUUCACCCAUUUCCUAUAUAACAUAUAGAAUACAAGCAGGUAAUGCCAAAACUUGCUGAAGCUGCUAAACCAUGCAGGUCAGACUUUUGGAUAUCUUAUUUCUUUACAAGAAAAUAUCCCACAAAUCAAAAGAACAGUCUGUCAUUCUCUGCAGGAAUCAGCUACGUAGCUUGAAGGCUGAGGAGGUAUGAAGUCUGCCUGUUUUUUUGUCAGUCAGAAGGAGAAGCAAAAACAUCAGAUGACUUUCUUGUCCCUCACGUGCAUGGAAGUGAUUUCCAGGAUUACUUGCUCCAUUGUUCUUUAGUGUAUGGAGUCCAUAUAUAGGAAAAUAUUGAAUAACAGUGACCCUCUUAAGUUUAAAUACCUGUUAGUAAGUUGAAAGAGAAAGAGGACAGACAAUUUCCAUCAACAGUUUUGCUUAAUGAAUGUCUGACGCCAAAGAAACUGGGUGGAUAUGCUUGUUACAAAUACUCAAAAGGACUUUUCUUCCAAAUGAGGUGUCUUUCAGACCCUUGUUUUCAACAGUACUGAGGAUUGUUUUGAGUAGCUACAGGCCCUUCUGUAGAUUGGUUCUGUCUUUCCCCAAGACUGUCUGGAUUUUAGAGUAGCUUAAUCUUUUUAUUCAAUAUUCAGAAGCAAGUUUUUGUUUGCAGAACUGUUAAUCAUCCUCAACAGGUUUUUAUGAGCAUUCUCUGCUUAUACUGGAUAGCUAAAAUUCCUUUUAUAUUCUAGCACAAGUGCAGCUAAUGAAGCCUAUGCUACUUUGGACUAACAUGAGUAUACCUGAUUGCAUAGUUCAGAACGUGCUUCUCCAUGUGAGUCAAUAGAAAAAAAAUCUAGAAAUUCUGCCCAUUACAAAAUAUUUGUUAAAUAUAGAAGAUUAUGGGACAGAAGUGCUACAGAAAUUCUGGAACUGGAAAAUAAGGUUGCUCAGACUUCAUUAGUAUAUGGAUUUAGUCAUCAGCAUUUGAAGCAGUUCAGUGUCCAGCAAAGCUGAAUGAGUUCUGUUAAAAUGCCAUCUUUGAAUAAUACAUCAGUUCAGCCUCAUGCCCACACCCCCAAAAGUCUGCUGUGUUCUUUGGUAGGUCAAAACGAAACAAAAGUUUCAUUACUCGGAAGAACUGUAAGGCUGAGGGAACAGAUUUGACAUUUGUUGCCAAACUCCUGCAGUGUCUCAUGCAGUGAAAGUGAACUCUCAGAAGGUAUGAGGCAGGGACAAAAGUUGGAGCAGGGCCCUAUUCUCUGGAAAUUGAGUAGCACUUUUCAGCUGCUUAAAGGAUGUUCUGAAAUCACAAGCUGUUUACUGCAAUCAAGGGCUCUUAUACAGAGUACAGGAACAUCGUGUCAUUUUGCUUUCCAAAUUCUUUUAGGGUUUCAGAAGUCAACUGCAAUGCAAAGCCUGUAAAAGCCAUAUACUGCAAUGCUGUGGAACAGAUAGGAUGCAUCAAACUUGAUCAGACUACCUGUUCCUGCUUCUGUAUCCUCAGAGAUGUAUCAGAGAUUAAAUUUAAAGGAGUUUUUCAUUCUUACUCUCUCUGGACAGCAAGAAAGAUGUGAAGAAUUUGAUGGCUGUAAUAGAGGUAAAUGGAAGGAAGGGCUGAACUAGCACAGAUUUCACAUGCUUCAUGUGCUUUCAGAGUCUGAAUCAAAGGGGAAUUAUGCUUGUGCUAUUGCUUUGUUUAUGAUGUCUGGCCAUAAGGUUGCUCAGUGCAGAACUGGGAAGUGGUGGGCAAAGAUGGCUUGUUGUCCUGAAUGACUCACCCAAGAUUGGCAGCAUUUUGCUAUACCAGUUUCUGCAGUUUCGGCUGAGAGAAAAGGACAGGAUUGUCUGUGGUGUCCCUGCAGUGCUUUAGUAAUCUGGAUGGUUAAGGCAAAUGUGGUUACUUGUACCUACAGGUGAAGUGCCGGUGAGGAACGAAGAACCAGACUGCUGUUUUAUCUAGAAAGGCCUAGACAGAAAACCUCUUUGAAAAGAGAUUUCAAUAUAUCAGGGUAAUGUAGGUAGUGGAUUAAAAUAAAGAAAAUCCAGGAGGUAAACUGUGAUAGUACUUUCUCUAAAAGGACCUGAAACUGCUUUUCUCUUGCAUAACUGAAAAAGGAGCCCCCAGAGCCUUUCUGAAUAAUCUUGCUGUGGCUGGGAAGAGGGAAAUUCUUUUUCCUGACUUCUUUCCAGAGGGAUUGAAAUAAGCAGAGGUGAUACCUAGAAACAGUGUUGGAAUAUCAACAGAAAGGAAAUUUAAUGUGCAAAUUUAAUGUGCAGUGCAACAUGCUUUUUUUUUUUUUUUUUUUUUUUUUUUUUUUGUCUGGGAUCAACAACCGUGUGCCAGACUUCUUCCCAGUGUAAUUAACGUCCAAAAAAUGCACUUCAAAUGAAGGGGUGCAAAAGAUUAAGCUUUGGAGUAUCCAGAAAUGAAGUAAAAGCUCUUUAAACCAAUUAAAAAGGAGGGAUUGUGUCAAGAA